AGUUCGCAUUAUACACGCCGACUCUGCGGCUCCGACGCGACUGUGUGCCCCAUCUCCCAACGGCCGACGCCGCUCCCCUCACCUCUACAGCACGCCCCCGCCGCUUGUCCCCGCUUCUCUCGGAUUCCCUCAGGGUCAGGCGUCGUCUCCGCAGGAUCGGAAGAGGCGUUGCGGUGGUCUUGGCCCUCCUACGCGCCGGCCGGGCAUGGUGCUCCAGGCGCUCCACGGCAGUGACGGCGGCCACUGAACACUACCUGCACAUGGCACGCAUGGCGACCCAGUCAGUAACAGGAUGCGGCGGACGCGCUCUGCCUCGAGAAGAACGAGCUCCGCCUUCGCCCUCUGCUACGUCCAUCCCCCGGCAGCGACCUCCACCGCGGCCGCAGCCGACCUCGCCGUCGCCUCGCGCAGCGCCGCCGGAACACGGUCCAAUGCACAUCGACACAAGGGCUGACUAAACCCCUUUGCAUUACUUAACGAGGCUAACGAGUUUCCCCUUGCCCCUCACUCCUGGACUGGACUCCCCUCUGAGGGAGGUCGUCGACGCGGUCGCCAAUUGCUGCUUGGAGUCGAGGGAAAAGGCCGCCACUGUGGAGGCCGUCCUAGUGUUUAUGCGUCAAAAAGAUAUAUGGUUUGGAGCAUCAUUGUAUCAUGAUAGUAAUGUAGAUAGUAAUCAAGGUUUGGAGCAGCUUGCAUGUCGGUCGAGUUGUUGCAAUGUAGAUUUGUGAGAUCAACUAGAUAGCAGGUUAUGUUGUGCUCUGACUUGCAAAAUAAAUUUGGACUGAUGUGGUGCUAAUUAGCCAUUGUUAUCUACCAACAUAAUUUGAUUGAGUUAUGUGUACAAAUAGUGGAUUUGCUCCAGAUGACUUUUUAGUGGUUCACUUUCCCAUGCAGGAUCCAUGUACCUCCCAUUUUGUUCUUUGAUUUGUCUUGUUCACUAAACAAUGCGAUGCAUAGAUUCUUGAUUAAAACCUUUUGCAUUGAAUUACUUCUUGUCAUCUUGUUCUUCCUCUUUUUAAACCUAAUGUACGGAGUAUAUUAUUGUGUUAAAAUGACUGCAUGUGGAAUAAUGAACCAAAAGUAUUUGGUUCUGCUGGAAGAUGUUCUGAGGACCAUAAUUCUCUGUAAUGAGUUUGUUCUGAAUAUAAUAUAAGCUUUCUUUUUGUCUCAUUUUUUUGUACGGACUAAUUGUUUUGCUAUGAUGGGAUAUAAGGAAAUAGACUUCCCCACAUAUAUUAAUGAUGUACUUUACAUUGUUGUGGCCACUGAAACUUCUUUUGUUACAUAGCUGCGUAUGAACUAUGAAACAACAAGGCCUUGAAGGCCAUAGAGACCUAAAUUUUGCUUCAUUUCCUGGUGAGUUUACCUUGCUACAUGUUAGGUAGUAUACCCAAUACUCUUUCUUGGUGCAUUUCGAGAUUAUCAUUUAGCGUUUAACGAUCCAUCCUGUACAAUAGUUGUGUUGUUCAUGCUGUUUUUCUUACAGCUCACUGGAAGGCUUUUGUUCAAGGAGGUACUUCUGUCCUAAGGUGACCGGCUGCCUUUGUUUGCCGCAAAUUCAGAUGCAUCUCACCCUGGAUUUGUAAAACGGGAAUGUAGUAAGUGGUGCUUGCUUCCAGCUUCCGACUAGAGGAUGACAUGACAAGUUUCUAAAGCCAUGACAUAUACAACAUAGAGUUAGGUCUCCAACUCUUCCAAGCUACCAGUUGCUUUAUUAGAUGCAUCUCACCAUGGAUUUGUAAAAUGGGAAUGUAGUAAGUGGCGCUUGCUUCCAGCUGUCAGCUAGACGAUGUCAUGACAAGUUUCUAAAGACAUGACAUCUACAACAUAGAGUUAGGUCUCCAAAUAUUCCAGACUACCAGCUUGCUAUGCUGCUAUGGCGCGAGUCGACUGAUUGCUUUUCUGAUGAACAAGUACACAUCACGUAUCUUCCUCGGAGGAGAAGGUGGAGAGGAGAGGCUACAGCAACUCUUGCUGAGAGUUCGCCUGGUCAUCAAGGAGGCGGG